rnacentral:rRNA from 1 species
UGGCUCAGAUUGAACGCUGGCGGCAGGCCUAACACAUGCAAGUCGAACGGUAGCACAGGGGAGCUUGCUCCCUGGGUGACGAGUGGCGGACGGGUGAGUAAUGUCUGGGAAACUGCCCGAUGGAGGGGGAUAACUACUGGAAACGGUAGCUAAUACCGCAUAACGUCUUCGGACCAAAGUGGGGGACCUUCGGGCCUCACACCAUCGGAUGUGCCCAGAUGGGAUUAGCUGGUUGGUGAGGUAACGGCUCACCAAGGCGACGAUCCCUAGCUGGUCUGAGAGGAUGACCAGCCACACUGGAACUGAGACACGGUCCAGACUCCUACGGGAGGCAGCAGUGGGGAAUAUUGCACAAUGGGCGCAAGCCUGAUGCAGCCAUGCCGCGUGUAUGAAGAAGGCCUUCGGGUUGUAAAGUACUUUCAGCGGGGAGGAAGGUGGUGGGGUUAAUAACCUUAUCAAUUGACGUUACCCGCAGAAGAAGCACCGGCUAACUCCGUGCCAGCAGCCGCGGUAAUACGGAGGGUGCAAGCGUUAAUCGGAAUUACUGGGCGUAAAGCGCACGCAGGCGGUCUGUUAAGUCAGAUGUGAAAUCCCCGGGCUUAACCUGGGAACUGCAUUUGAAACUGGCAGGCUUGAGUCUUGUAGAGGGGGGUAGAAUUCCAGGUGUAGCGGUGAAAUGCGUAGAGAUCUGGAGGAAUACCGGUGGCGAAGGCGGCCCCCUGGACAAAGACUGACGCUCAGGUGCGAAAGCGUGGGGAGCAAACAGGAUUAGAUACCCUGGUAGUCCACGCCGUAAACGAUGUCGAUUUGGAGGUUGUGCCCUUGAGGCGUGGCUUCCGUAGCUAACGCGUUAAAUCGACCGCCUGGGGAGUACGGCCGCAAGGUUAAAACUCAAAUGAAUUGACGGGGGCCCGCACAAGCGGUGGAGCAUGUGGUUUAAUUCGAUGCAACGCGAAGAACCUUACCUGGCCUUGACAUCCACGGAAGACCUCAGAGAUGGGGUUGUGCCUUCGGGAACCGUGAGACAGGUGCUGCAUGGCUGUCGUCAGCUCGUGUUGUGAAAUGUUGGGUUAAGUCCCGCAACGAGCGCAACCCUUAUCCUUUGUUGCCAUCGAUUCGGUCGGGAACUCAAAGGAGACUGCCGGUGAUAAACCGGAGGAAGGUGGGGAUGACGUCAAGUCAUCAUGGCCCUUACGGCCAGGGCUACACACGUGCUACAAUGGCGCAUACAAAGAGAAGCGACCUCGCGAGAGCAAGCGGAUCUCAUAAAGUGCGUCGUAGUCCGGAUCGGAGUCUGCAACUCGACUCCGUGAAGUCGGAAUCGCUAGUAAUCGUGGAUCAGAAUGCCACGGUGAAUACGUUCCCGGGCCUUGUACACACCGCCCGUCACACCAUGGGAGUGGGUUGCAAAAGAAGUAGGUAGCUUAACCUUCGGGAGGGCGCUUACCACUUUGUGAUUCAUGACUGGGGUGAAGUCGUAACAAGGUAACCGUAGGGGAACCUG